GUGAGAAAGAGGCUGUGGGCACCCACAGUGCCAGAGAGCCGUCCCCGCCGGGUUCUUUGUGUGUGUAGCCUCGUUUCUGCUUCUGUUUUCAUUGUGGGGCUUGGGAGGAAAUCGCCAACCUUCAGCACUGGGGCAGCCCCACCAUGGCCAGUGGUUUGUCAAUCCCUUUUGUCCCUGCCUGUGUCCAAAGUCUGGGGGUUUCUGCGGGAGGGAAGGCGCCCAAAUGUAUAGCAGCUGGCCUUGACUGGGUUCGGUUUUGGUGAGGGAGUUUGAUUAGGCUUAGGGCCGCCUGGGCAUGAAACAGGAUCCCAAAACCUCAGCCCCAUGACUCUCCCACUCUCCCACCAGGGGAAGGCAGAUGUUUUGGGGCCGUGAUGGGCUGGCCUGGCGGUGCCGAGGUGCCUGGAGGCAGGACUGUUUCAGGACCCCGAUGGGGACGUAGAGGAUGCGGGAAGCCCAUGAGUGCCUCCUGUGCGCGAGCGCUUUGGUGAGCGCCGUGCAGCCGCCUUCUUGGUUGCUGGUGGACGUUCAGCCCUAAUACCCUGCUCUCUCGCCCGCAGCCCCAUCUGAAGCCCCUGAAAUUUGAACCUUGGUUUAGGGAUUUGGCCUGUUUGUCAGUGGGUUUUCCACAUGUGGUUUCCACAGGAACUUUUGCUGUUUAAGUGCUUUUUUAAACGAUGAAGUUAUCUUUUUCCUAUUGGGAUGAGCUCACUGGCUUUUGUGUGGGCUGCAGGCGCUGGGUGAUUGGAAGGGCCAUGGACUUCUGAACCCAGAGGAGAAGCCCUGUGUACAAAAGCCGCUGGGUCUCAGCAGUCCCCGAGGAGGUGGUUGUGAACGUAGCACCAACUUCUUUGAUCUUCUGAGAUCGCUGCGUUUUUCUAGUAAAGCCCCCAUGGAAAGCUUAGCAUGCAGGCAGGUGGGUCGUGGCCUCCCUCUUGAGUGAGCUGAAGGAUUUAAGAACUGUCAGCUUCCUAUAUUAUAGAUGGGAUGGGGUUUAACGUCUGCAGCAGCCAGACUUCGUAAGGGCCAAGAAACUUGUGUGACCUUGUGUGAUCUUGAGGG
rnacentral:lncRNA from 1 species